rnacentral:rRNA from 1 species
CUACGGGCCGCUGCAGUGAGGAAUAUUGCACAAUGGGGGGAACCCUGAUGCAGCAACGCCGCGUGGAGGAUGACGCAUUUCGGUGUGUAAACUCCUUUUAUAUGUCAAGAAAAUGACGGUAGCAUAUGAAUAAGCACCGGCUAACUCCGUGCCAGCAGCCGCGGUAAUACGGAGGGUGCAAGCGUUACUCGGAAUCACUGGGCGUAAAGGACGCGUAGGCGGGUUGGAAAGUCAGGUGUGAAAUCCUACAGCUUAACUGUAGAACUGCACUUGAAACUUCUAAUCUAGAGUGUGGGAGGGGGAGAUGGAAUUAGUGGUGUAGGGGUAAAAUCCGUAGAUAUCACUAGGAAUACCUAAAGCGAAGGCGAUCUCCUGGAACAUUACUGACGCUAAGGUGCGAAAGCGUGGGGAGCAAACAGGAUUAGAUACCCCGGUAGUC